rnacentral:rRNA from 1 species
CGGGGGGGCUAGCGUUGUUCGGAAUUACUGGGCGUAAAGGGCGCGUAGGCGGUCUGCUAAGUUGGGUGUGAAAACUCUGGGCUUAACCCAGAGCCUGCAUUCAAAACUGACAGGCUAGAGUUCUGGAGGGGAUAGCGGAAUUCCUGGUGUAGCGGUGAAAUGCGUAGAUAGCAGGAGGAACACCGGUGGCGAAGGCGGCUAUCUGGACAGAGUCUGACGCUGAGGCGCGAAAGCUAGGGGAGCAAACAGGAUUAGAUACCCUGGUAGUCCUAGCCCUAAACGAUGGAUACUUGGUGUGACUGGGAUUGAAUCCAGUCGUGCCGAAGCUAACGCAUUAAGUAUCCCGCCUGGGGAGUACGGUCGCAAGGCUG